rnacentral:sRNA from 1 species
GCUGGGCUUGGCGGCUCAUGCCUAUAAUCCCAGCGGCCUGGGAGGCUGAGACAGGAGGAUCUCAAGUUCAAAGCCAGCCUCAGAAAAGCGAGGCGCUAAGCAACUCAGUGAGACCCUGCCUCUA